CUUUAACAAAACUAUCCGCCAGAGAACUACUAGCAACAGCUUAAAACUCAAAGGACUUGGCGGUGCUUUAUAUCCCUCUAGAGGAGCCUGUUCUAUAAUCGAUAAACCCCGAUACACCUCACCAUCUCUUGCUAAUUCAGCCUAUAUACCGCCAUCUUCAGCAAACCCUAAAAAGGAAAAAAAGUAAGCACAAGUAUCUUAACACAAAAAAGUUAGGUCAAGGUGUAGCCCAUGAGAUGGGAAGCAAUGGGCUACAUUUUCUAAAUUAGAACACCCACGAAAAUCCUUAUGAAACUAAGUAUUAAAGGAGGAUUUAGUAGUAAAUUUGAGAAUAGAGAGCUCAAUUGAAUUGGGCCAUGAAGCACGCACACACCGCCCGUC
rnacentral:rRNA from 1 species